rnacentral:rRNA from 1 species
UGCGGGGUAGGGGAGCGUUCUGUAAGCCGUUGAAGGUGGUCUGUAAGGGCUGCUGGAGGUAUCAGAAGUGCGAAUGCUGACAUGAGUAACGAUAAUGGGGGUGAAAAACCCCCACGCCGGAAGACCAAGGGUUCCUGUCCAACGUUAAUCGGGGCAGGGUAAGUCGACCCCUAAGGCGAGGCCGAAAGGCGUAGUCGAUGGGAAACGGGUUAAUAUUCCCGUACUUCUUAUAAUUGCGAUGGGGGGACGGAGAAGGCUAGGUGGGCCUGGCGAUGGUUGUCCAGGUUCAAGUAUGUAGGCGGAAAGUUUAGGUAAAUCCGGACUUUCUUAACGCUGAGAUACGAUGUCGAGCUGCUACGUGCAGUGAAGUCAUUGAUGCCAUGCUUCCAGGAAAAGCCUCUAAGCUUCAGAUUAUAAGGAAUCGUACUCCAAACCGACACAGGUGGUCGGGUAGAGAAUACCAAGGCGCUUGAGAGAACUCGGGUGAAGGAACUAGGCAAAAUGGUACCGUAACUUCGGGAGAAGGUACGCUCUUGGCGGUGAAGUCCCUUGCGGAUGGAGCUACUAGGAGUCGCAGAUACCAGGUGGCUGCAACUGUUUAUUAAAAACACAGCACUGUGCAAAAUCGUAAGAUGACGUAUACGGUGUGACGCCUGCCCGGUGCCGGAAGGUUAAUUGAUGGGGUUAGACUUAGGUCGAAGCUCUUGAUCGAAGCCCCGGUAAACGGCGGCCGUAACUAUAACGGUCCUAAGGUAGCGAAAUUCCUUGUCGGGUAAGUUCCGACCUGCACGAAUGGCGUAAUGAUGGCCACGCUGUCUCCACCCGAGACUCAGUGAAAUUGAAAUCGCUGUGAAGAUGCAGUGUACCCGCGGCUAGACGGAAAGACCCCGUGAACCUUUACUACAGCUUGGCACUGAACAUUGACCCUACAUGUGUAGGAUAGGUGGGAGCCUUUGAA